UAAGUUGGUAGUGAAAGCCCACGGCUCAACCGUGGACACAUUACCAAAACUGCUAAGCUUGAGCACGAGAGAGGUAACUGGAAUUCCAGGUGUAGGAGUGAAAUCCGUAGAUAUCUGGAGGAACACCGAUGGCGUAGGCAGGUUACUGGCUCGUUGCUGACACUGAGGCACGAAAGCGUGGGGAGCGAACGGGAUUAGAUACCCCGGUAGUCCACGCCGUAAACGAUGGAUGCUA
rnacentral:rRNA from 1 species